rnacentral:rRNA from 1 species
AUUGAACGCUGGCGGCAGGCCUAACACAUGCAAGUCGGACGGUAGCACAGAGAGCUUGCUCUUGGGUGACGAGUGGCGGACGGGUGAGUAAUGUCUGGGGAUCUGCCCGAUAGAGGGGGAUAACCACUGGAAACGGUGGCUAAUACCGCAUAACGUCGCAAGACCAAAGAGGGGGACCUUCGGGCCUCUCACUAUCGGAUGAACCCAGAUGGGAUUAGCUAGUAGGCGGGGUAAUGGCCCACCUAGGCGAAGAUCCCUAGCUGGUCUGAGAGGAUGACCAGCCACACGGGGACUGAGACACGGUCCAGACUCCUACGGGAGGCAGCAGUGGGGAAUAUUGCACAAUGGGCGCAAGCCUGAUGCAGCCAUGCCGCGUGUAUGAAGAAGGCCUUCGGGUUGUAAAGUACUUUCAGCGGGGAGGAAGGCGGUGAGGUUAAUAACCUCGCCGAUUGACGUUACCCGCAGAAGAAGCACCGGCUAACUCCGUGCCAGCCGCCGCGGUAA